rnacentral:rRNA from 1 species
CCUACGGGAGGCAGCAGUGGGGAAUAUUGCGCAAUGGGCGAAAGCCUGACGCAGCGACGCCGCGUGAGGGAUGAAGGUCUUCGGAUCGUAAACCUCUGUCAGCAGGGAAGAACGGUCACGGUGCUAAUCAGCAGUGAAUUGACGGUACCUGCAAAGGAAGCACCGGCAAACUCCGUGCCAGCAGCCGCGGUAGUACGGAGGGGGCGAGCGUUAAUCGGAAUUACUGGGCGUAAAGGGCGCGUAGGCGGUUGGUCAAGUCCAGGGUGAAAGCCCCGGGCUCAACGUUGGAACUGCCUUUGAUACUGGCAAACUAGAGUGUGGGAGAGGUAAGUGGAAUUCCUGGUGUAGGGGUGAAAUGCGUAGAUAUCAGGAGGAACAUCAGUGGCGAAGGCGACUAUCUGGACUGUAACUGACGCUGAGGAUCGAAAGCGUGGGUAGCAAACAGGAUUAGAUACCCCGGUAGUC